GUUUUGAGUGCCAAGGAGUUAAACGUUAACACCUGGCCUAUAUUUCUAAUCAGCAGCAUCUGCCAACUACGUGAUACAAUUGACGAAUCACUCAA